rnacentral:piRNA from 1 species
UCAGCGAAUUCAGAGAAAAAC